GCAGAAACUGCAUAAGUGAUGUGAAGGAACACAGAAAAUGAGAUGUGGGAGACUGAGCAGGAGACUAAAGAGCUGCAGUGUUUGAAACUGAGAAGUAAAGAGGAAAAAAAGGAUCUGAAUACAAAGGGUUAUCAAAGAGGCAAAAAUAUGCACAAAAGAAUUGCACAAUACAAUGCAUGAAGAGCGAUUUUCAACGCUGUAGAGUAAUCCUAACUCCAAAUAGAAUCAACAGAAAGGACAGAACACCCCCAUUCUGUACAGAAGCAAGAAGCCAGGACUGGCUGCAGUUCACAGAGAUUUCAACAGACCCCUGACCAAGCCCUCAGCCACAGGGAGUACCAGAAUGAAGGAAAAAACCUACCUUCAGAGGGGUAGUACAGAU